rnacentral:rRNA from 1 species
GACGGUCGCUGGCGGCGUGCUUAACACAUGCAAGUCGAACGGAAAGGCCCUGCUUUUGUGGGGUGCUCGAGUGGCGAACGGGUGAGUAACACGUGAGUAACCUGCCCUUGACUUUGGGAUAACUUCAGGAAACUGGGGCUAAUACCGGAUAGGAGCUCCUGCUGCAUGGUGGGGGUUGGAAAGUUUCGGCGGUUGGGGAUGGACUCGCGGCUUAUCAGCUUGUUGGUGGGGUAGUGGCUUACCAAGGCUUUGACGGGUAGCCGGCCUGAGAGGGUGACCGGCCACAUUGGGACUGAGAUACGGCCCAGACUCCUACGGGAGGCAGCAGUGGGGAAUAUUGCACAAUGGGCGGAAGCCUGAUGCAGCAACGCCGCGUGCGGGAUGACGGCCUUCGGGUUGUAAACCGCUUUCGCCUGUGACGAAGCGUGAGUGACGGUAAUGGGUAAAGAAGCACCGGCUAACUACGUG